GCCCCUGAAGCAUUGUUGGCGAUGCACCGGAUUUGUAACCCGGAGAACCGUGUUCGACUCACGGCGGGGGCA
rnacentral:tRNA from 1 species